rnacentral:tRNA from 1 species
UGGUGCCGACACCCAGGAUUGAACUGGGGACCUACUGAUUACGAAUCAGUUGCUCUACCGCUGAGCUAUGUCGGC